rnacentral:rRNA from 1 species
GAUGAACGCUAGCGGGAGGCCUAACACAUGCAAGCCGAGCGGUAUUUGUCUUUCGGGACAGAGAGAGCGGCGUAUGGGUGCGGAACACGUGUGCAACCUGCCUUUAUCUGGGGGAUAGCCUUUCGAAAGGAAGAUUAAUACCCCAUAAUAUAAUGAAUGGCAUCAUUUAUUAUUGAAAACUCUGGUGGAUAGAGAUGGGCACGCGCAAGAUUAGGUAGUUGGUGAGGUAACGGCUCACCAAGUCGAUGAUCUUUAGGGGGCCUGAGAGGGUGAUCCCCCCCACUGGUACUGAGACACGGACCAGACUCCUACGGGAGGCAGCAGUGAGGAAUAUUGGACAAUGGGUUAGCGCCUGAUCCAGCCAUCCCGCGUGAAGGACGACGGCCCUAUGGGUUGUAAACUUCUUUUGUACAGGGAUAAACCUACUCUCGUGAGAGUAGCUGAAGGUACUGUACGAAUAAGCACCGGCUAACUCCGUGCCAGCCGCCGCGGUAA